UCCCUAGGAAAACCCACGUUUUACUGCUGAAUCAGAGCAAAUUGCAAUCAUGUUUUCAGCGGGUUGCUAUUUUCUCUGGUUCAGAAGUAAAACACUAGUUUUCCAAGGAA